CUGACUCUCCUGGAGCUAUUCCCCGUGGUCUUGGCGGUCGAGCUGUGGGGUGGGAAGUUGUCGAACGGGACUGUUGUGUUCUGGACAGACAACAUCAGUGUGGUCUUUGCGAUCAAUAACUUGUCAGCCACCUCAGCAAAGGUCAUUACCUUGCUGCGCCACCUGGUGUUGCGCUGUCUGGACCUUAACAUCCAGUUCCAGGCCCGUCAUGUCCCGGGCGUUGACAAUGUUGUAGCUGACGCCCUGUCACGAUUCGAAUGGGCGACAUUUCGCAAGUUAGCCCCCACAGCUGCAGCCGUGGGCUUACGCUGUCCUGAUUUCCUUUGGCAGCUCGUCCUUCCUGGAUAGCCUUACUGCCGUUGGUCCGCUCCUCCUUAGCACCAUCCACUUGGCACGCCUAUGCCCGCAUGUGGUCUGAAUGGGACAAUUUCUGUGCGUCCAGGGGAGCCGACGCUGCUCAGGGGUCUAGGGACAACUUACAUGAUUGGCUGGCACUACCCCCGGGGUGAAGCGAAUCUGGAUUGUGGGCCACUCCUUUGUCCACUGGGCCUCCCUACGCUGUGCGUCCCUCCCAUUUGGCCAAUCCCUAGGUCUCCCUACCAACAAGGCAUCCGUUAGGUGGUUGGGUGAUAGGGGGAUGUGCUGGCCCCAAUUAGCAGGAACCAUAUCUGAGGCCCUGGUACGCUGGGGGAAGCCUCACAUUAUUAUUCUUCACCUAGGGGGUAACGAUGUGGGGGCCAUACCAGUUUUACAGUUGAUUAAGGUUAUGCAGGCAGACAUUGGGUGGCUAAGAGUACGCAUCCCGGGGGUCAUGAUAGGGUGGUCCCAUAUAAUACCCCGUCUCCACUGGAGGCAUAUGUCGGCCCAUACGGCGGCAUACCGGGUUAGGAAGAAGAUCAAUGCGUCUGUAGCGAAAACCGUCACUGGGUCAGGUGGCUUCGUGGUACGGCACAAAGCCAUUUCGGCUGAUAGAACCGAGCUAUAUAGAAGGGAUAAAGUUCACCUUUCUGAUGUGGGGCUGGAUUUAUUCAUAGGGGACAUUCAGAGAGCUCUGUUACCCCUCCUGUAAAUCGGGUUGUGGGUUGGCGGCAAGGGUACCAUUAAAAUGCUUCCUUGUGGCGGGAGAUCCUCGGUCCGGUUGCGCAGGAGAAGGUCGCUAGGGGUGAGUGAUGGCCAGACUUCCGGGGAGGAGGGUAGGCCCUCACGUGCACGUGACGGUAACCCUCCUUCCUCCCUUUUGAGGGAUGGUCACGUGAUCUCUGCAACCCCUCAGCGUCAUCUCCUUAGGGCAGAGACCCCUCUGCUGCUGUUCCCGUUGGGCCGGUGAUCUCCUGCUGUUCUGGGUAGCUGAUCUCUAUGCCGCCAUAUAUAUUUUCAGUUCUAUCAGUUCUAUCUAGUUUGUUAGGUUAAUAAAAUUUUAUGGCCUGUGACGGUCACAAAAUUUUUCCCAUAAAAAGUUUGUCUGUGGUUAUUUCGCACUACAUUCUCAUGUACAUAGUUAUUUAAUUAAGUUAUGUUAAAUCCUCUCCUCUGUGAAGAAGGAUCCGGUAAGCAUUUAAUCCCUUAAUGCAGUGUAGGGCUUAGUAUAAGCCUGGAGCAGUCUAAGGGUUAAGGCUGUAGGAGAGUGGGUUAGAAGAGAGAGGGAAGGUGCUGGGUGCAACAUUGUUGCAAUUUAGGGUAGGCCCCUCCUUACCAGUAGAUAAGCCAAGUUCUCCCUUGCAACUUCCUCUUCUUCUCCGGAUCCUGGCUGAAGCAGUUUUUUCCCUCCCUCCCUUCCCCUUUUGUAAUGUUUUAAUGAUGUUGUAUUUUCGACGGCACCUUAAUGGCAGGGCUAUGGCUACUCACCCUAGGCCCAAUAAGCCAUUACUGUAGGAUAUGGAUCUCCUCUCCCUGUUAUGCGGUUUACACGGCUUGGUAACAGGGAAUCCUUAUCUAGGUGGAAGAUCUUCUUUCACCCUGGCGGCGGGAGAUCCUCGGUCCGGUUGCGCAGGAGAAGGUCGCUAGGGGUGAGUGAUGGCCAGACUUCCGGGGAGGAGGGUAGGCCCUCACGUGCACGUGACGGUAACCCUCCUUCCUCCCUUUUGAGGGAUGGUCACGUGAUCUCUGCAACCCCUCAGCGUCAUCUCCUUAGGGCAGAGACCCCUCUGCUGCUGUUCCCGUUGGGCCGGUGAUCUCCUGCUGUUCUGGGUAGCUGAUCUCUAUGCCGCCAUAUAUAUUUUCAGUUCUAUCAGUUCUAUCUAGUUUGUUAGGUUAAUAAAAUUUUAUGGCCUGUGACGGUCACAAAAUUUUUCCCAUAAAAA